UGAAGCCUUCUUCCAUAUUACAAUUGGCUAUAAAACCGGUGACUCUCUCCAUUUUCACAAUAAUCUUCUCAUCUCCUUCACUGUCAACUGUUGGUUCCAUCCACAUCAAUGGCGUCUGGAAGCUUCAUCCUAUGGCUACACGGUCUAGGCGACUCCGGUCCAGCCAACGAACCCAUCAAAUCCGUCGUCACUUCCCGCCAGUUAGCCAACACCCGUUGGUCUUUCCCAUCAGCUCCAGUUCAACCUGUUAUGUGUAAUCAAUUCUCUUGUGGAAGAAAGUUUGUUGCUUAAAGCAGUUCGAAUUGUGCAUUCAAUGAUUGACAAGGAGUUGGCUGCUGGAAUUGAUCCUAAAAAUGUGUUUCUUUGUGGAUUUAGUCAAGGAGGUGCAUUGACCUUGGCUAGUACUCUCUUAUAUCCAAAAACUCUUGGUGGGGGUGCAGUAUUUAGUGGAUGGGUGCCUUUUAACUCGACUAGUACUAUUAUAGAACAGAUCACCUCAGAAGCAAAACAGGUACGUUUGAACAAAAAGUAGUGAUCUAGACAUGUAACUGUGCAUAUAUAUCAGCUAUGAUAUACAAACAUAAGCAAACUCUUUCCCUCCCACUAAGCAAGUUUUUAAACCCUGGGCUUAUAGCUCAGUGAUUUUGGAAAUGAGGGAAAGACCCCUGGUCAAAUGGUCUCGAGUUUGAUUCCUGAUCCACCCGGGUUUUACCGGCUCUGUAUUGUCGUGCCCUCGAGCGGGUGCAGGGUCGGGUUUUCCCCGGAACUGGUGGCAUGGUGGGCUAGGGGCUCCGUGCGUGCAGGUUGGGCUGCUGCGGGCUACCUUUCGGCCAAUGGGUGCCGCGUACGGAGUACCCGGCAAUUCUUAUGUUGGACGUUCAAAAAAAAAAACUAAGCAAGUUUUUACGGUUAUGCAAUCCUGUACUAUUAUUUGAUUAAUUUUUAUUAUAAAGUAGAGUUAAUUACAUAGUUAGUCCCUGUGGUUUACACAAAGUAACAAUCUAAGGUACUAACAGCUUAAAAUCACAUCCUGGGGUACUAACUUUCCAUUUUUUAACAUGUGAGGGUAUUAAUUACAUAGUUAAUUACAUAGUUAGUCCCUGUGGUUUACACAAACUAACAGUCUAAGGUACUAAUAGUUAACAAGGAAUUAACGUUAAUACCCUCACAUGUUAAAAAAUGGAAAGUUAGUACCCCAGUAUGUGAUUUUAAACUAUUAGUACCUUAGAUUGUUAUUUUGUGUAAACCACAGGGACUAACUAUGUAAUUAACUCUAUAAAAGUAUAAUUAAUAUACUUUGGCAAACAAGACAAGGGAAUCUUGUGGACUCAAAUCAAUAUUAUUAGGUUUUGUUCAUGAGAAGUUAAACUUACUGACUUGGUUUAAAAAAGCGCCGUCACUCUUAAGCGUUUAGGUUCCAAAAGCCGAGGCGCGCACAUUAGGUACGUGAGCCGUUGCUAUAUGUACAACCGAAUAAGCUUUAUUUACAACCAUAAGUUGGGUCUCUCUCACCUAUUUCACAUAUCAUCCUUGUUAACCUUCAUAUCCAUUUGGUGGUUUUUACAUAUCAGCCUCAUUCAUGAGAUGCUUUCUCAAGCCAGCGCGGUGUUUUCCAGCUCGCCACGCGGUUCAAAACCAAGCUAACCAACACGUUACUUGCAAUAAAAUCUUGUUGACAUGGCAACCGCCAGACUAUCUUAAUUAGAAAUUUUGAAAGUUGGUUACCUUGAAUGAAUUUAUUGAAAUUUUUAAUACCUUUUGUUUGGCUUAAAA